rnacentral:lncRNA from 1 species
CCCAAAGUGCUGGAGUUACAGAUGUGAGCCUCUGUGCUCAGCCCAUCCUUGGCUGUUCAAGUGUAGAGAAAUAAAAACAUCAGUAGGAGGGGAAGGAGGAAGGAAGGAGAAGAAAGAGGAAGAAUAGGAGGAGAAGAGGAAGAGAGGAAGAAGUCGUGAACAGCCCUCCUGCAUUUUGCAUCAGGUAGAAAAGUCAGUUGAAUGUUGGGAAGAACACAAAUAGUCCCCACCCUUGCUACACUGUGGAUGCUUUCCUUACCCUGCUGGUUUCUGAAUGCUCUGCCACGGUCCUGGGCCUCCCCACUUACCCAGCAUGGAUGCCUAAGCUGAACUGAAUGACCUUGGACUGAAUUGUUCAAAAAGAGAAGGGGAGAGGAAGAGGAAGAAGAACGCCAA